UUUGAUUUUAUGAAGCAGAAUUAGUUAACACUGAAAUCAGUUUCUCGACAGCAGUUCUACUAAAUGUCCACACGAGGGCAGCAUAGGAUAGGAAAUGAAAGCUAAAGCCUUGUCUGUCUCCCUGAAGUUCGCUACCAAUUGUAAACAGCAGAGGACAGCUCAGCCGGAGGCAUGUGUCUGUGUGAAACGACUUUAUUUCAUGUGAUAAGUUUGUGGAAGAAGGAUGCCAUGUUUGGAGGCGUUUGCUAUUGUUUUACACAGACUACGAGGGACAGCGCUCGUUAAACCAGGUCUGUGAGGAUGAGAAGGUCUCCACAGUCUGGAGUCUGGUCUCUGACAGGCUCAACAUACCUGUCAAUCAACAGGGACUCCUCUACAAAGGCAAGGCGCUGGCAGGAUUACGAGCGGAGGCUGCGCUUGUUGAGCCUGGAUGAUAUGGAGAGGCUGGCGACCCGCAUGCUUCACCCUGAGGCUGUGGAGUGCAUGGAGCUGUCCUUCCUGGACUGAGGAAAACUGCUGCUGCCCUCUCCACCCCUCCCCUCUCUCCUCUGUCCUCCCCCUCUCCUCUCCUCUCCUUACUUUGUUUAAAAGAAUAGAAGCACACCCAGUGAGCAAGGCAUUGAGCAGCCCCACAUCCCGCUUCACAAUACCGCUACAUAUUGACUGACUGUUUGCAUCGUGUGUGUUUGGUAAGACAAACCACAUUUUCUCCUUUCUGCUAUUUUAAAAGGGGGUUGUGGGUAACAGAGUGUGUUUUUGCUGGGGACUGCAGCCCUUCCAUUACCAUUGCUCGUAGAGGGGAGAUUGUUUUACUUCCAAGCCUUUUUCUUUAAUAAAUCCAGACGUUUGGAAAUACAUACUGUGUGGACGUUUCCCUUCUUCAUGGCUCCAUGCAGCAUCCUGUCACACAACAAGCCCUGAAAGGGGAUCUAUACAUAUUUAUUCUCAAUCACCAGGCAGUAAUCACAGCUACAAUACAGACACACAACGUGUCACUUUUAUUGGCUCAAACUGUAAACUACGACUAGAAGCCUCUGAAGCCUUUUC